UACGAAGGGGGCUAGCGUUGUUCGGAAUCACUGGGCGUAAAGCGUGCGUAGGCGGUAUGGAAAGUUGGAUGUGAAAGCCCAGGGCUUAACCCUGGAAUUGCGUUUAAAACUACCAUGCUAGAGUCCGGUAGGGGGCAUUGGAAUUCCUAGUGUAGCGGUGAAAUGCGUAGAUAUUAGGAGGAACACCAGAGGCGAAGGCGAUUGCCUGCGCCGAUACUGACACUAAAGCACGAAAGCGUGGGGAGCACACAGG
rnacentral:rRNA from 1 species